UACGAAGGGGGCUAGCGUUGCUCGGAAUCACUGGGCGUAAAGGGUGCGUAGGCGGGUCUUUUAAGUCAGGGGUGAAAUCCUGGAGCUCAACUCCAGAACUGCCUUUGAUACUGAGGAUCUUGAGUUCGGGAGAGGUGAGUGGAACUGCGAGUGUAGAGGUGAAAUUCGUAGAUAUUCGCAAGAACACCAGUGGCGAAGGCGGCUCACUGGGCCGAUACUGACGCUGAGGAGCGAAAGCGUGGGGAGCGAACAGG
rnacentral:rRNA from 1 species